UACGUAGGGGGCGAGCGUUGUCCGGAUUUAUUGGGCGUAAAGAGCGUGUAGGCGGCCCGAUUAGUCCGCUGUGAAAGUCCAGGGCUCAACCCUGGAAUGCCGGUGGAUACUGUCGGGCUAGAGUCCGGAAGGGGCGAGUGGAAUUCCUGGUGUAGCGGUGAAAUGCGCAGAUAUCAGGAGGAACACCAAUGGCGAAGGCAGCUCGCUGGGACGUGACUGACGCUGAGACGCGAAAGCGUGGGGAGCAAACAGG
rnacentral:rRNA from 1 species